rnacentral:rRNA from 1 species
CGUAGGUGAACCUGCGGAAGGAUCAUUGUCGAAACCUGCAAAGCAGAACGACCCGUGAACAUGUAAUUACAAUCACCUGAUGGGGAAACGGGCUACGGCCUUGAUCCUUGUCCCUUGUCGGCGUGCGUUUGUGCCGCUCCGAAUGGAACGCCAUAGAUGUUUUGUUGACAAGUUAACCAACCCCGGCACGGAAUGUGCCAAGGAAAAAGAAAACAAAAGAAGGUUGUACCUGGUUUUUGCCCCGUUCGCGGUGUGCAUGCUGUUGCGACCUCUUUCAAACAAAAACGACUCUCGGCAACGGAUAUCUCGGCUCACGCAUCGAUGAAGAACGUAGCAAAAUGCGAUACUUGGUGUGAAUUGCAGAAUCCCGUGAACCAUCGAGUUUUUGAACGCAAGUUGCGCCCAAAGCCAUCCGGUUGAGGGCACGCCUGCCUGGGCGUCACGCAUCGCGUCGCCCCCCCAUGUAUAUCAGAUUUGGGAUGCAUGGUGUCGGGGCGGAGAUUGGUCUCCCGUGCAACUGUCGCGGUUGGCCCAAACAUGAGUCACCUUCGGUUGACGCACGGCUAGUGGUGGUUGAAUAGGCCCUCGUCUUUUGCCGUGCGUCGUUUGCUGCAAGGAAAGCUCUUGUAUAAGACCCUAAUGCGUUGUCCUGUGAUGACGCUUCGACCGCGACCCCAGGUCG